GGAACUCUGUGCAGCAGUGUGCACUCGCCACUCUUUGUUCCUUGACUAUGAUGCCUGUGUGAUGUCCCACUGCUUUGAUAUCCCUGCUGCGAUGGAUGGACUGUGCUCCUGAACCGUUCCCAGUCGCUUUGAAUGUGUCUCCCAAGAGUUCCUUCCUGUGUUGGGAGCUCGGUUCUUGGUGUGAUGUAUUGGGAAGUAUUGAACUUGUAAGAGAUGAA